rnacentral:rRNA from 1 species
UGGGGAAUAUUGCACAAUGGGGGAAACCCUGAUGCAGCGACGCCGCGUGAACGAAGAAGGUAUUCGUAUCGUAAAGUUCUGUCCUAUGGGAAGAUAAUGACAGUACCAUAGAAGAAAGCUCCGGCUAAAUACGUGCCAGCAGCCGCGGUAAUACGUAUGGAGCGAGCGUUGUCCGGAAUUAUUGGGUGUAAAGGGUACGCAGGCGGUUUAAUAAGUCGAAUGUUAAAGAUCGGGGCUCAACCCCGCAAAGCAUUGGAAACUGAUAAACUUGAGUAGUGGAGAGGAAAGUGGAAUUCCUAGUGUAGUGGUGAAAUACGUAGAUAUUAGGAGGAAUACCAGUAGCGAAGGCGACGUUCUGGACACAAACUGACGCUGAGGUACGAAAGCGUGGGGAGCAAACAGG